rnacentral:lncRNA from 1 species
GAAACACUGAAGCUCCAUUUGAUGUUCAUUUUGUUUUCUAUUAUUUUUCUCAUUUUAAAGCACCUUGUUCUCUUUGGGUGGUUCUCUUGCAUACACAACCGCUUCAUUUGGAGAAAAAAGAAAUGGCAGCAAAGAAUGCUCCUUUUGGAACUGAUUCAACCCCAGAAGUAGUUGUGAAGAUUAUCGGCAGCAAGCAUGUCAAGUAUUUUGUUGACAUGCCAAAGAAGUAAGGUGGAAUUUAUUUUUUAAAUAAAUAAAACAAAUAAAAAAGGAUGUUAAAUGAGCUGAAGCUUACCAUUCCAUUUUUCUCCUGAGCUACAAAGACGUUCUCUUUUACCUACUGUACUGUAUAUUAGCAUAUUAUUCUGAUAGAUAUCUAAACAUGUUCUCACAUGACAGGCUGCACCCAGCUUAACCUCAAAGUAACACAAAUCGGAAGAUAUGUAAAUAAUGACACAGAAUGGUGUUUAUGGAACAUGGACCAUUAUUAACCUCUUCCUUCCACAGCAAUUUUAGACUCCCAAGCGUCUGCUAACAGGAAAGACCCUUGAUAAGACCUAUUCUCAUUUUCCAGUGUUUUCUCUAAG